rnacentral:ncRNA from 1 species
GUGUAAGUAUGAACAAAUUCAGACUGUGAAAUUGCGAAUGACUCAUUAAAUUAGUUAUAGUUUGUUUGAUGGUAUCUACUACUCGGAUAACCAUAGUAAUUCUAGAGCUAAUACGUGCAACAAACCCCGACUUCUGGAAGGGAUGCAUUUAUUAGAUAAAAGGUCGACACAGGCUCUGCCCGUUGCUGCGAUGAUUCAUGAUAACUCGACAGAUCGCUUAAGGCCUGUAGUGAAUUGAGUUGGUAUGGGUUAUUCAGCUUCAACAGGGAUGAG